GACGAAGGAUGCAAGCGUUGUCCGGAUUCAUUGGGUUUAAAGGGUGCGUAGGUGGCCUGGUAAGUCAGUGGUGAAAUCUUCUCGCUUAACGAGAAAACUGCCAUUGAUACUGCUAGGCUUGAGUACAGAUGCCGUUGGCGGAAUAUGACAUGUAGUGGUGAAAUACAUAGAGAUGUCAUAGAACACCGAUUGCGAAGGCAGCUAACGAAACUGUAACUGACACUGAGGCUCGAAAGUGCGGGGAUCAAACAGG
rnacentral:rRNA from 1 species